rnacentral:rRNA from 1 species
UACAGAGGUCUCAAGCGUUGUUCGGAUUCAUUGGGCGUAAAGGGUGCGUAGGCGGCGCGGUAAGUCGGGUGUGAAAUCCCUCGGCUCAACUGAGGAGCGUCGAUCGAAACUGCCGUUCUUGAGGGUUGCAGAGGAGACUGGAAUUCCCGGUGUAGCGGUGAAAUGUGUAGAGAUCGGGAGGAACACCGGUGGCGAAGGCGGGUCUCUGGGCAACUCCUGACGCUGAGGCGCGAAAGCGUGGGGAGCAAACGGG